AUUGAACGCUGGCGGCAUGCCUAACACAUGCAAGUCGAGCGAGCGGCGGACGGGUGAGUAAUGUAUGGGAAUCUGCCUGAUAGAGGGGGAUAACUACUGGAAACGGUGGCUAAUACCGCAUACCAUCGGAUGUACCCAUAUGGGAUUAGCUAGUAGGUGGGGUAAAGGCUCACCUAGGCCACGAUCCCUAGCUGGUCUGAGAGGAUGAUCAGCCACACUGGGACUGAGACACGGCCCAGACUCCUACGGGAGGCAGCAGUGGGGAAUAUUGCACAAUGGGCGCAAGCCUGAUGCAGCCAUGCCGCGUGUAUGAAGAAGGCCUUAGGGUUGUAAAGUACUUUCAGCGGGGAGGCGUUACCCGCAGAAGAAGCACCGGCUAACUACGUGCCAGCAGCCGCGGUAAUUC
rnacentral:rRNA from 1 species